rnacentral:snRNA from 1 species
GGAUGUAAGGGCAAUCUGGCUGCAACAUUGGUCACCCUGUUGAUUUCCAGGGUUGAUUCAGCUGAUAUGGAUGGCUAGGCAGGUGUCCUCUUCAACUCUCACCACUCCACGUACAUCCCUGCCAAAGCUGUGGGCUUAGCUGAAGAGUAUGACCUUCCCAGAAUAGUGCUCCCCAGCUAGAACCUCCAAAUAAGCUCUCUUUUUGUCUUAUUUCACUUAACAUAAUUCCUUCAAGUUUAAUCCAAAUUGUAGAGAAAGAGAAAAUUUCACCAUUUCUUACAAAUGAGUUGUAUUCCAUUCAGUAUAUAUAC